UACGAAGGGGGCUAGCGUUGUUCGGAUUUACUGGGCGUAAAGCGCACGUAGGCGGAUCGUUAAGUCGGGGGUGAAAUCCUGGAGCUCAACUCCAGAACUGCCUUCGAUACUGGCGAUCUUGAGUCCGGAAGAGGUGAGUGGAACUCCCUAGUGUAGAGGUGGAAUUCGUAGAUAUUAGGAAGAACACCAGUGGCGAAGGCGGCUCACUGGUCCGGUA
rnacentral:rRNA from 1 species